UACGUAGGGGGCAAGCGUUGUCCGGAUUUAUUGGGCGUAAAGAGCGUGUAGGCGGCCAGGGAGGUCCGUUGUGAAAACUCGAGGCUCAACCUCGAGACGCCGAUGGAAACCCCCUGGCUAGAGUCCGGAAGAGGAGAGUGGAAUUCCUGGUGUAGCGGUGAAAUGCGCAGAUAUCAGGAAGAACACCCGUGGCUAAGGCGGCUCUCUAGUACGGUACUGACGCUGAGACGCGAAAGCGUAGGGAGCGAACAGG
rnacentral:rRNA from 1 species